rnacentral:pre_miRNA from 1 species
UUUCUACUCCUUCCGUCCCAUAUUAAUUGACUUUCUAUUACAUGUAUCUAGACGCUUCUUAGGUAUAGAUACAUCGAUAUUUGAGAAAAUUUGAGUCGCUUAAUAUGGGACGGAGGGAGUAGUAA